rnacentral:rRNA from 1 species
UGGGGAAUUUUGGACAAUGGGCGCAAGCCUGAUCCAGCAAUGCCGCGUGCAGGAUGAAGGCCUUCGGGUUGUAAACUGCUUUUGUACGGAACGAAACGGCUCUGGUUAAUACCUGGGGCUAAUGACGGUACCGUAAGAAUAAGCACCGGCUAACUACGUGCCAGCAGCCGCGGUAAUACGUAGGGUGCGAGCGUUAAUCGGAAUUACUGGGCGUAAAGCGUGCGCAGGCGGUGAUGUAAGACAGAUGUGAAAUCCCCGGGCUCAACCUGGGACCUGCAUUUGUGACUGCAUCGCUGGAGUGCGGCAGAGGGGGAUGGAAUUCCACGUGUAGCAGUGAAAUGCGUAGAUAUGCGGAGGAACAGCGAUGGCGAAGGCAAUCCCCUGGGCCUGCACUGACGCUCAUGCACGAAAGCGUGGGGAGCAAACA